UUUUCUAUUUCCUCUUUACAAGCUUUACAAGAGGUUAAAAAAAAAAUGAUAAAUUAGGUUUUAAAUGAAAAUCUCACAACAUACACAUUUUAACAGAAAGUCUUAAAGCGCUCCGACACAUGAAACUCCUCAAACACUUGCUGUUGUGAUAGGCACUGGAUUCAAUCCAGCAAGAAUACUGAUUGCCCAUAUUCUUCUCAAAAGCCAGUUCAAAAAUCAACAGCACAAUUGGCAUCUCUGAUGCCUUCCAAUUCCAUUGACAGAAACAGUUGCAAAUGCUCGCCGAAAAGGUGCAGCUGCCUGAUGCUGGCUCAAGAUCGCUCCAUGUUGGCCACAGUUCUAGGAUCAGAGGAACACAUGACUUGGAACAGCCAUCAAGGUUUGCAGUACCAAGCAUUGAUAGUAUAUACGUUGCUAUGGCAUAUUUAUUACUACACUCCCAGCAGAUGCCUGGUUUGCCGCACGAUUACUUCCAAAAUUCCUUCGAUUGGAUUCCCUUGCAAUUCUCGAACCAAACUGGAUUGCUCGUUUCGGAAGAACUGCUGCCUC
rnacentral:misc_RNA from 1 species